rnacentral:lncRNA from 1 species
CAAAUAUCCAAGGUAACGUAAUAGAGUUGAAAGAGUCCUAAUUCAUUCUUCAUUAUAAAUCCAAAUACACCAUAAAAUCUAAAAAAACUAAAGUAGUCUCAUAUAACACUUUAAAAACAAAACACAUAGCAAAAAUCCUAAAUGUUGCUGGCUCCAGAUAAUCCUCUUGCCCUCAAAGGUGUAUCAGGCAUACUUACAUCUUCAUCACCUACAAAUGUAACCAUUAAACAGUUUAUCUCAAACUACAGAAUAAGAAAUCCAUAUGUAGAGAUUAGAAGUCCUAGGAUUUACUAUUACAAUGCGACACUAAUGAAAAAAAUAAAAUAAAUAACUGAGACAAUUCGAGACCCACAUAAGCAACAAAGCAACACAAUUACUUAACAAACAUUAACAGAUGUUUGUCCCCUGUGUGAGUAAGGUAUGUGCUUUGAUAAUGUUAACAUGUAUGCAUAGAAUGUCAAACAUAACAAAAAUUGUAUAGCAUAAAUUGAGAGUAUAUCACAGAGAUGUAGCCUACAACAAACAUAGAAAAGUAUGGCUGUAACAUGUAUACAAAAGCAUUGAGAUUUUAGUUCCAAAUGAGUAUAAAGGUCAUUUAAUAUUUGUUCUUCUUGAAAACAAAGCUGACCAGCCAAAUAUUCAAUUGAAAUCAAAGAUGAAUUCAGGCCAAUAAUCUUCAUUGAACAAAAUAGGAAAAUGGAAAGAGAUAAGUACAAAGAAGCCAGACAACCACCAACUCUGAAAUAGGAUUUAUCUAAUGACACUAAACUAACACAACGUAUCCACUAAUCUCAUGAAUAUUGUAUAAGUUGCAAGUUGUUAUUCAUAUUGGUAUCAACUACACAUCAUUCUUUCAAAAUCAAUAUAAAAUGAAAUUAUUGAAAUACAUACCAAGAAUGCCAAUAUAGUAGGUAAGUGGAACAUAAGUGUGCUCAAUUUUGAAAAGUAUUUUAGCUGAGGGAACCAAACUAUAUUCUUCCCAUUGAGGUAAACCCCCAUACUAAAUCUCUUUUCUUAUAUUUUGGGUCUCCAAACCUAAGGACUUUAGAACACCAAAUCAUUCUAAUGGCUGAAAAUUGGAAUUACUCAACAGUUAGUAGCUGCAUAAAUAUAUGUUUAACAUGUACCUUCAAUUCCACACAACACCAAAAUAAUAAAAAAGAAGAGAAGAGAUUAAUCCAUCACAAAAUAUAGAAAAGUUUAGACAUAGAAGACUUUGUCAUUUAUUAGUACUCUCUCAUUGUUUCUGUUAAGCUUUUUUAGGAGUGAGUAUUCUCAUAGUCUAAUAGACUUUGAUGAAUUCAGUGUGUAUUUGAAGAAGCAAUUGACACGCCCGAAUGACAAAGCAUAACCUUACAUUAGAGAAAAAGUGAUCAUACACAGAUUUUACACUUGCAAAAAGUUGUUCACUUUUAAACAGAUUUUUCUAUGCAGCUUUUAGGAUUUCCUCCAUUUUGAUAUCAUGUAGGUGUUUUUAAACAUUAAAAAGCCUGGAGUUUUAGAAACUGUCCUGCCACUUGGCAUUUCAGGAUAUAAAUUUUUCUGAAACAAAAAAUCAUAGCAUGGUUUUGAUGAAGUCACUAAGCAUUAUACAUUAUUAUUGUUAACAAUGCCUCCCUACAAACAAACAACUUCAACGAUAGACUAAAGAAUGAAUUUGUAAUGCAAGGACAAAAUGAGAGACAAAGGAAUACAUUUUAUCAGAGACAAGAAGAUAAAUAGCAGCAUCACCUAUCCCCCCCGCCCACACACAGGUCAAUAAAUGAUAUUAUCUUCUCUACAAAAUGGCUAAUUUAAAGUGUGUUAAAGACCUUAAUAGAAAAUAAGAGGUGUGACAAAGAAAAUUUCAUAAAUUUUCUGACCAAAAAAACCCUAAGAGAGCAACUAUCAAUUUGUUUUAUAACUUAUACAACCUAGGUUUCAUUGAUUUCUCCACUUGUUUCAUUAUAAUCCAACAAAGGUUAACAUUGCUGCAACAACAAAGGUUAAAUUUCUGAUACCUCAAAUCCUGCAAUUCUCGAAAAUCAGCCUCUCUUGGUGAUGAAACUUUGUUUAUCGUCUAAUUCUUCUUCGUGUGGCAGAGAUGAGCACCAUACAACCACCGUGUAGUUUUCGAUUGUUAUAGAACGUCGAACGUGAGCAUCGCUAAAUGGAUUCAGAAAAGUAACCAUCACCGGAAGUAAUGAAAAUGUUAUGACGACGACGCCAAUGGUGGUUGAUGGCGACUCUGAAAUCGUAUUUGAUUUGGAAUUGGAGAAGUUAAGGUGGUGGACAAGUUACAACGUUGAAGGGUUUGUGAAGUUGGAAGAGGUGAAUAUGUUUUGGAGAAGUUAGGGUUUGUGAACAUGUUUAGAUAAAAUAAAUGACAAUUGGAAAAUUGAGAAAUACAGUGGAG